rnacentral:rRNA from 1 species
GACGAACGCUGGCGGCGUGCCUAAUACAUGCAAGUAGAACGCUGAAGGAGGAGCUUGCUUCUCUGGAUGAGUUGCGAACGGGUGAGUAACGCGUAGGUAACCUGCCUGGUAGUGGGGGAUAACUAUUGGAAACGAUAGCUAAUACCGCAUAAUAGCAGUUGUUGCAUGAUAACUGUUUGAAAGGUGCAAUUGCACCGCUACCAGAUGGACCUGCGUUGUAUUAGCUAGUUGGUGGGGUAACGGCUCACCAAGGCGACGAUACAUAGCCGACCUGAGAGGGUGAUCGGCCACACUGGGAAUGAGACACGGCCCAGACUCCUACGGGAGGCAGCAGUGGGGAAUCUUCGGCAAUGGACGGAAGUCUGACCGAGCAACGCCGCGUGAGUGAAGAAGGUUUUCGGAUCGGAAAGAUCUGUUGUAAGAGAAGAACGAGUGUGAGAGUGGAAAGUUCACACUGUGACGGUAUCUUACCAGAAAGGGACGGCUAACUACGUG